UACAGAGGGUGCAAGCGUUAAUCGGAUUUACUGGGCGUAAAGCGUGCGUAGGCGGUUCAUUAAGUCGGUUGUGAAAUCCCUGGGCUUAACCUGGGAACUGCAGUCGAUACUGGUGGACUAGAGUACGGCAGAGGGUGGCGGAACUCCGGGUGUAGCGGUGAAAUGCGUAGAUAUCCGGAAGAACACCGAUGGCGAAGGCAACCACCUGGGCCUGUACUGACGCUGAGGUGCGAAAGCGUGGGGAGCAAACAGG
rnacentral:rRNA from 1 species